rnacentral:tRNA from 2 species
CGGGAUAUAGCGCAGUUUGGUAGCGCGCUGCUUUGGGAGCAGGAUGUCGCAGGUUCAAGUCCUGCUAUCCCGA